UCCAUACACCAACUCACAACAACACUUUAGAACUCAAGGGCAAAAAAGGCAUUCCAAAGCCUUUACCCUUACAUCUGCAAUAUCAAAUAGGCACUACGUGUAACACAAGCAAACUAUAUCAGAUGCAAAAAGGAAAAGCAACGAUUAAAGAAAUUGGGGCAAGAAGAAGAAGAGACAGAGGAAGAAAAGGAAAUGACAACACGGGUUUAUGAGUUCAGCUCAAACUUGUCUACAUCCACUUUUUGGCUCUUCUGCACUAAUUAAGAACAAGUUACCUCAAUGGAGGUUCUAAGUCAAAGUGGAUCGAUAGCUCGUGUGGGGACUUAUCCAACGGUUGGCUCUUAUUUUAUUUUAUUUUUUUAAAUCCAAACAUGCUUAUCCAUGUUUUCUAA